rnacentral:rRNA from 1 species
GACGAACGCUGGCGGCGUGCUUAACACAUGCAAGUCGAACGGAAAGGCCUGCUUUCCCUUGUGGAUUGCGGGUACUCGAGUGGCGAACGGGUGAGUAACACGUGAGUGAUCUGCCCCCAACUUGGGUAUAAGCCUGGGAAACUGGGUCUAAUUCCCGAUAGGACUGCAGGGUGGUGCCUGUGGUGGAAAACGAUUUUCUAGUGGUUGGGGAUGAGCUCGCGGCCUAUCAGCUUGUUGGUGGGGUAAUGGCCUACCAAGGCGGCGACGGGUAGCCGGCCUGGGAGGGUGGACGGCCACAUUGGGACUGUGAUACGGCCCAGACGCCUACGGGAGGCAGCAGUGGGGAAUAUUGCACGAUGGGCUGGAGCCUGAUGCAGCGACGCAGCGUGAGGGAUGACGGCCUUCGGGUUGUAAACUCCUUUCGACCGCGAGGAAGCCACCUGGUUGGAAGGGUGGUGACGGUAGUGGUAGAAGAAGCACCGGCUAACUACGUG